CCUACGGGAGGCAGCAGUGAGGAAUAUUGGUCAAUGGGCGUAAGCCUGAACCAGCCAAGUCGCGUGAGGGAUGAAGGUUCUAUGGAUCGUAAACCUCUUUUAUACGGGAAUAAAGUGCGGGACGUGUCCCGUUUUGUAUGUACCUUAUGAAUAAGGAUCGGCUAACUCCGUGCCAGCAGCCGCGGUAAUCCGGAGGAUCCGAGCGUUAUCCGGAUUUAUUGGGUUUAAAGGGUGCGUAGGCGGCCUUUUAAGUCAACGGUGAAAGUCUGUGGCUCAACCAUAGAAUUGCCGUUGAAACUGGGAGGCUUGAGUAUGUUUGAGGCAGGCGGAAUGCGUGGUGUAGCGGUGAAAUGCUUAGAUAUCACGCAGAACCCCGAUUGCGAAGGCAGCUUGCCAAGCCAUGACUGACGCUGAUGCACGAAAGCGUGGGGAUCAAACAGGAUUAGAUACCCGUGUAGUC
rnacentral:rRNA from 1 species